CCUACGGGAGGCAGCAGUGGGGAAUAUUGGACAAUGGGGGGAACCCUGAUCCAGCCAUGCCGCGUGUGUGAAGAAGGCCCUCGGGUUGUAAAGCACUUUCAGUGAGGAAGAACGCCUGGUGGUUAAUACCCAUCAGGAAAGACAUCACUCACAGAAGAAGCACCGGCUAACUCCGUGCCAGCAGCCGCGGUAAUACGGAGGGUGCGAGCGUUAAUCGGAAUUACUGGGCGUAAAGCGCGCGUAGGUGGCUUGAUAAGCCGGUUGUGAAAGCCCCGGGCUCAACCUGGGAACGGCAUCCGGAACUGUCAAGCUAGAGUGCAGGAGAGGAAGGUAGAAUUCCCGGUGUAGCGGUGAAAUGCGUAGAGAUCGGGAGGAAUACCAGUGGCGAAGGCGGCCUUCUGGACUGACACUGACACUGAGGUGCGAAGGCGUGGGUAGCAAACAGGAUUAGAUACCCGGGUAGUC
rnacentral:rRNA from 1 species